UACGGAGGGUGCGAGCGUUAUCCGGAUUCACUGGGUUUAAAGGGUGCGUAGGUGGGCAUGUAAGUCAGUGGUGAAAUCUCUGAGCUUAACUCAGAAACUGCCAUUGAUACUAUGUUUCUUGAAUUUUCUGGAGGUCAGCGGAAUAUGUCAUGUAGCGGUGAAAUGCUUAGAUAUGACAUAGAACACCAAUUGCGAAGGCAGCUGGCUACAGGGAUAUUGGCACUGAGGCACGAAAGCGUGGGGAUCAAACAGG
rnacentral:rRNA from 1 species